rnacentral:rRNA from 1 species
CUACGGGAGGCAGCAGUCGAGAAUUUUUCACAAUGGGCGAAAGCCUGAUGGAGCGACGCCGCGUGGGGGAUGAAUGGCUUCGGCCCGUAAACCCCUGUCAUUUGCGAUCAAACCUUACGACCCAACACGUCGUGAGCUGAUAGUAGCGGAAGAGGAAGGGACGGCUAACUCUGUGCCAGCAGCCGCGGUAAUACAGAGGUCCCAAGCGUUGUUCGGAUUCACUGGGCGUAAAGGGUGCGUAGGCGGUCGGGUAAGUCUGACGUGAAAUCUUCGAGCUCAACUCGGAAACUGCGUCGGAUACUAUUCGGCUCGAGGAAUGGAGGGGAGACUGGAAUACUUGGUGUAGCAGUGAAAUGCGUAGAUAUCAAGUGGAACACCAGUGGCGAAGGCGAGUCUCUGGACAUUUCCUGACGCUGAGGCACGAAAGCCAGGGGAGCAAACGGGGUUAGAAACCCGAGUAGUCC